AUGUACUUCUGUACUACGAACAAACUCGGGAUGCUUAGCGAGCAACCAAUAUGGUUUGGACGUGUGCAUUUUGAUCUAGUGCCAGGGCUGUUACUCGUUGUGUUCGUCGUGGUUGCUGAGGCGAGGGACAUUGCUUCCCACAUAUGCUCCAACUGGACCAAGGUAAUCCUCACCUGCCACUGUGUGCGCCGUGCCUCCUUGAAGCUUUCUCCCGUUGUCCCGAAAUGGGUCGGCCGUUUGUUGAGAUGCAGAUGUGACAGGCUGAUGAUGCAUUGGAACGACAAAAUGAGACAAAGCUCAUUGUUGCUGCUUCACCCAAGGCAAUUUCACCAACUUGUUUUACCUGGCUGCCUCCUUCGUUUGCUUGACCGAAAGAAGAAGAAUGUUGAAGUACCAACGGUAGUGAAGGCUUGCAUCAUUGAUGCCCUGAGAAGCACAAGCAGUGGAGGCCUAAGAAAAGGCACAACUUCCCUGUGCCAGAGCCAAGACGACCGAAGCUUACUCUGGGCCUGCAACAGUCGCAAAGGUACAUCUGACACCAUACUUGUGUGGCACAUCGCCACCACCAUCCUUGAGGUGAGGCACCCACACCACCAACAUGACGACCCUCCUCAGCAAACACCAACACCGCAAGGUGGCCGACCUUCUUCUGCUUCUAUUUCUGACAAGACGACAGCUGCCACACAUCUGUCACGCUAUUGCGCCUAUUUGGUGGCAUCUUUCCCAGAGCUACUUCCUGAUGAUGAUACAUGGAGCGAGGACCUCUACAACAAAGUCAAGAAUGACGCCGACCAAGCCCUCACCACCAGAAGCGGCGGCAUUGCGGUGUCAUCCCUGUCGCCGGAAGCUGGAUACCUAAGGUUGAUACAGUUGCUGGGCGCUACACAGAAUCAUGAGCUGCUCAAAGAUGCCGCCAAGCUCGCGGCGCAGCUUGGGGAGCUGACCGAAGGCGAGGAGAUGGCGUGGGAGUUGCUGGCCGGGUUUUGGUCGGAGUUGAUCCUUUACCUGGCUCCGUCAGACAACCUCAAAGGGCACCUGCAGGCCGUCAAUCGGGGCGGCGAGCUGAUCACGCUCCUCUGGGCCUUGCUCACCCACAUCGGGAUGAUCGACAGGCCCGGCGACAUCGCUGCAAGUGCUCUAGCCACUGGUGUUUAA
rnacentral:rRNA from 1 species